rnacentral:rRNA from 1 species
UACAGAGGGUGCGAGCGUUAAUCGGAAUUACUGGGCGUAAAGCGCGCGUAGGCGGCUUUGCAAGUCGGGUGUGAAAUCCCCAGGCUCAACCUGGGAACUGCAUUCGAGACUGCAUAGCUAGAGUAUGGGAGAGGGAAGUGGAAUUUCAGGUGUAGCGGUGAAAUGCGUAGAUAUCUGAAGGAACAUCAGUGGCGAAAGCGACUUCCUGGACCAAUACUGACGCUCAUGUGCGAAAGCGUGGGGAGCAAACAGG